UACAGAGGUGGCAAGCGUUGUUCGGAAUUACUGGGCGUAAAGGGCGCGUAGGCGGCCCACUAAGUCAGACGUGAAAUCCCCCGGCUUAACCUGGGAACUGCGUCUGAUACUGGAGGGCUUGAGUAUGGGAGAGGGAUGUAGAAUUCCAGGUGUAGCGGUGAAAUGCGUAGAUAUCGGGAGGAACACCGGUGGCGAAGGCGGCGACCUGGGUAGAUACUGACGCUGAGGUGCGAAAGCGUGGGGAGCAAACAGG
rnacentral:rRNA from 1 species